rnacentral:lncRNA from 10 species
GGCCCAGUAAGAAAGGAAUGGGUCCUGGAUUAGACCCAGACUCCUGUCUCCACACUGGAACUCUCUGCACUCAGGCAAGAGAAUUAAUUACCUGAGCUUUUUUUUUCUUCUUUUUUUUUUAAUUUAUACUAUGACACUUUUAUUUCCUAAUUUGCUGGCUUGCUGUAAGUUUCCCAGCAUUAGUAAGGAACAUUCCUGGAGCACCAGAGACUCACAAGAUCUGCCUCUUCGUGGCUUCACGUGGCGCUCAGGCCUGUCUUCUUUCCUGGCUCUCCCUGCUGGCCCUGCUGCCUGCGUGUUCCCUUCCCACAAACCCCAUGCCCUUCUCAUUGUUCUGUUCUGUUCUGUUCUCCUUCUCGUUUGUCCUUUUCCUAGUGUCGUUUUUCUUUCAGUUCAUCACCCUCUCUCUUCCCUGGACCAUCAGUCACCAUAAAGGCAUGGCCUCAAGUGACCAAAUGAAAGCUGAUUGUUAUGUUGUUAUUUUUAACCUGAAAGAAACCAAAAGAAGGAAGAAGGCAAAACCUGUGUUCUAUGUCAGGAAGUCAGCCGGGCAAUUCUCAGAUGUCUCAUUUAAGACCUCAUUUAAUGAAAACACAUCUCAAGGGUAGUUUUGAAUAUGUCAGUGUUCGGGGUUUUAGGAACUUGAGGAAGGCCAGGUGGCUCACAGAUGGAGAGCACUCCAGUUCUGCAGGCCGUAAGGUUUUUCCCCUGUGGGCCGAUGGACAGAAGAUGAGGGGGGCUGGUCCUGGAUUGAGUUAACAUACAGCCACAUGGCAGAGAUAAAUGAUAAACCACGCUGACGAUAAUCUUAGGAGGUAAGUGGUCGGCAGAGUGAAAAAUCACUGCACGGGAAUCUAGCAAGAUUUUUUCCAGACGUCUCUGGGGGUGUUGAAAAGGCCAUGAGGUGUCCAGGCUCCUGGUACACCAUGAAGUAAUUUCCAGGGCUUGCUUGGCCAUGGGUGAGACAAAGCCAGAAGGAGAGAGAGAAUUAUGGGCCUCUGGGCUAUUCAGACUCAACAUCUUGGAAACCUGAGGCCCAGGGCCCAGCAGGCCUCUCACUGAAUAUGACCUGGAACUAUUUGGCUGUCCCCAAUUCAUUAUCCAAUGUCUGUCUCUCCAGAUGGCAUGCCCUCUGCACCUGCUCCCAGUGGCCUCAGGGGUGCAGGGCAGAGGGUUCACUCAGCUCUGCAUCUUCAGCUCACACCAGGACGCCUUCCCUAGUGAAUA